GAUGAACGCUGGCGGCGUGCCUAACACAUGCAAGUCGAACGGAGUCGUUUUGGAAAUCUCUUCGGAGAUGGAAUUCUCGACUUAGUGGCGGACGGGUGAGUAACGCGUGAGCAAUCUGCCUUUAAGAGGGGGAUAACAGUCGGAAACGGCUGCUAAUACCGCAUAAAGCAUUAAAUUCGCAUGUUUUUGAUGCCAAAGGAGCAAUCCGCUUUUAGAUGAGCUCGCGUCUGAUUAGCUAGUUGGCGGGGUAACGGCCCACCAAGGCGACGAUCAGUAGCCGGACUGAGAGGUUGAACGGCCACAUUGGGACUGAGACACGGCCCAGACUCCUACGGGAGGCAGCAGUGGGGAAUAGUGCGCAAUGGGGGAAACCCUGACGCAGCAACGCCGCGUGAUUGAAGAAGGCCUUCGGGUUGUAAAGAUCUUUAAUCAGGGACGAAAAAAAUGACGGUACCUGAAGAAUAAGCGCCGGCUAACUACGUG
rnacentral:rRNA from 1 species